GUCGAUUGAGUGCCUGCUUCACACUGAACCUCUUCCCGCACUCUUCACACUCAUGACUUUUUACACCAGUGUGUGUUAGGGUGUGUGUAUCAAGGUGACUCUUCAGGAUGAAUUUUUUCCCACAUUCCUUACAUUCAUAGUUCUUCACACCAGUGUGUGUAAGGGUGUGUCUAUCAAGGUGACUCUUCAGGAUGAAUUGUUUCCCACAUUCCUUACAUUCAUAGUUCUUCACACCAGUGUGUGUAAGGGUGUGUCUAUCAAGGUUACCCUUCAGGAUGAAUUUUUUCCCACAUUCCUUACAUUCAUAGUUCUUCACACCAGUGUGUGUAAGGGUGUGUCUAUCAAG